rnacentral:misc_RNA from 1 species
UUUCCGUAGGUGAACCUGCGGAGGGAUCAUUACCGAGUUGCAAACUCCCAAACCCAAUGUGAACGUUACCACUUCGUUGCUUCGGCGGGACUGCCCCGGGCGCGCCCCAGCGGCCGACCCGGAACCAGGCGCCCGUCGGAGGCCCCAAACCCCUCUGUAUUUUAGCGGAUUUACUCUGAGUGGCCUUAAACGGCAAACAAAUGAAUCAAAACUUUCAACAACGGAUCUCUUGGUUCUG